rnacentral:tmRNA from 1 species
GGGGCUGUUUGGAUUUGACAGCGGGUCGAGGCGGUAUGUAAGCAUGUGGAGCUGAGAUGGUAAGCUCCUUAAUCUCUGCUAUCAAAGAUUUAUCUGGCGAAACACGUUACGCUCUCGCUGCCUAAUCGAAGUACAGUAGAUUACUGGCUUAAUCCCGGCACAAGGUGCUGAGACGAGACAUCGCUCAGAAGCUCUUGUCCCGAAGCGUCUGAUAUAGCGGUGUAGGAAUAUCGGGGAUAGCCGUCUGUCUGUCUCGGGCAUACGGUAAAAUCUUAUGAGACUAAGGCGUCGGUUGGUGGUCCAGGUCUUGCUGCCGCACGAAAAUGAAGUCUGGAAUAAACAUGUAGAAAGCAUAUUGUUUCCCUGUUUGGACGAGGGUUCGACUCCCUCCAGCUCCAC